CACAAGGCCGAGACUAAGAAGAAAGCAGUACCUCGUAAGGCAGCAGGGCAGGCAUGGGAGGAUCCUACACUUGCAGAUUGGCCAGAGAAUGAUUCUCGUUUGUUCUGUGGUGAUCUUGGUAAUGAGUUGAAUGAUGAUGUUCUAUCCAAAGCAUUUUCAAGAUUUCCAUCUUUUAACAUGGCCAGGGAUUGGCACUAACCUCUACUAAAGCAUAGCCGGACUGCUCCACCUAGAGAUGGCUGAAGGAAGUGGAAAUGAGGAGACAACUCUUGAGCAUACAUCAACAUGGGCAGUGGUAGUUGUUUGUUUCAUCUUGAUGAGCCCAAACAAUGUACUAUAUAUAUACUAUACCUCUCG